UACGGGGGGAGCAAGCGUUGUUCGGAUUUACUGGGCGUAAAGGGCGCGUAGGCGGUCAGCACAAGUCAGUUGUGAAAUCUCCGGGCUUAACUCGGAAAGGUCAACUGAUACUGUGCGACUAGAGUGCAGAAGGGGCAACUGGAAUUCUCGGUGUAGCGGUGAAAUGCGUAGAUAUCGAGAGGAACACCUGAGGUGAAGACGGGUUGCUGGGCCAACACUGACGCUGAUGCGCGAAAGCCAGGGGAGCAAACGGG
rnacentral:rRNA from 1 species